AGGUGUGUUUCACCGGUAGGUUACAGGAACAGCCGCACGGUGGCAUUGUGCGCUCACUUACAGCGGCUCUGCCGGAAAUAAGCCGUAGAAGUAGAAGACAGUCAGCGUCAGGUGGUUCUCUGAGAGCCCCGUGUGACAGUUCGGUCCCCCUUCAGCUUUAAACCCGGUGUGAGUGGUCAACGAUGUGGACCGGGCCGGUGUUUCCGCUCUGAAGCCUCCCUCGCUGCGCUGAUGAUGCUGAAAAUGAAGCUACCGUUGAAAACGGGCGAGGAAGGAGGCGACGACACGCCCGAGGAAGACUCACUGGACCAGCAUAUCCAGUCUGGACCAGUACCUCCCUCCUCGGGGUCAGGCAGACUACACGAGUCGCCCGGGCCGUCUGUGCAUCCAUCCCAGCUGGAUAAGGAGACCGUGUUCGAGUGGUUCGGCCUACAUCUGAACCCGGCUAGGCGGGUCGAGUUCAUGUGCGGACUGCUCCACAUGUGCCAGCCCCUGGAGCUCCGCUUUCUGGGGUCUUACCUGGAGGAUCUCGCUAGAAAAGACUUCCAUGUUUUAAGGGACUUCGAGUUUCGAGCUAAUAGUCCGAGUGAUCUGGGGUUGUUGACAGACAUAAUCGACCCAGUUGUUCGGUCCAAGCUCCUGGUGUGCUUGUCCCUCCUCGGGUCUGACAGCAGGGAAUGUGCUGGAAUACUCUUUCGGAUACUGAGCCAUGUAGACCCGGCCUUGUUCUACAAGAAGUACGACUACCCGCUUCCUCCGUUCAGGGACCCUCAUUUCCAGCCACCGUGUCAGGACGGGGAUCCGGGGUCCGAGCAGAACUGCUCCUCUACCGACCCCGCGGCGGGGCCCCUGGAGCAGCUGGCCCUGCUGUUCACCAUGGCCUCUCUGCACCCAGCUUUCCAGUUCCACCAGCGGGAGAUAGUCCGAGGCCAGCUGAACAAGACGGAGCUCGCCAUGGAGGAGGAGAGACGCCAGACAGCGGAGCUGAUGUGUCACAAGACGGAUUACCUGCCUUCCCCAGCGCUGGGUUUGGGGGAAUAUAGUGCCUCCCACUCUCCCUGCCAGAGCCCACGAUCCAGCAGCUGGGCGACACAAAGAGAAGCGGUGCAUAUAGAGGGAAUUGUGCUCAGGGGCAUCUCUCAGACCAGAAUAGACAAGGAAUACAACUUUGAGGUGAAGUGGUCAGACUCUUCUUCUAGCACUGUGACCAAAACCCACCUGGAACUGGAGAACUUCCUUCUUAAGCUUCCUAAGGAUCAGUGUACUGAGUCUUUUGAGAAGAACAUCCUGAGGCUUCUGAACCCGGGGGACCAGAAGGAGACCCGGGAGGUGGAAAGGAGCCUCAGGGAAAGGUUCCUGUCGGCUCCUCCGGUCUUCAGACAGACCAGGAAGGUCUGCAGCUUCUUCAACUGUGACUCCAGUUACUCUACAAAACCUACCUGCUGCAGAUGUAACUGCCAGCUGGGUAAGGCCUACCAGGGAGACUGCUCUGAUGCCUCCAGUCAGGAGGAAGAUUUGGAGUUGUAUGUUCAGGGACACAAGAAAAAGCAUGGGACCAAGAGUCCAUGUCAGGGUCUCUCUAGUGCCAAAGCCUCCCAGGGGGAUAUUUGGAGGGGGGGGCACGCUGCAGAGCUCAACGGCCCAGCAGAGAGGAGAAAGAGUUGUACACUGAGGAGCAGCCAGAAGGCUGAACAGCACCCGGACACCGAAAAAAGAAGCCACCCAGUCGCUCAAACAAAGAGCAGAGGCCUGCCCACAGACAGGGACAAGGGAAAGGCUGCUGCCUUCAUAGCCAACGGUAGGUUGGUACCCGUUCUGUCACCUCAGAGGAAAGAUGGAGGUUCUGGUCCAGAUACCUUUGGUGAAACAUCAUCAGAAAGCUACAGCUCUCCAUCCAGCCCUCAACACCGAGGACCAGAGAGCAUGGACAGUGAGGAUGACAACAACAAAGAUACAGACAGCCACUCUGAUGACUCCAGCAAAGGUCUGGUUCCUGAUGUGUUCUUCGCCCACCAGACUGAUCUAGCUGUUGUGGGAGAGGUCCCCUCUGUCCACCCUCUGUCUUCCAACAACCACCAGGCCCAGAUGGAGCCACUCUUCCCAGACACCAGCACAGAGUUUCCCCCUCUGUCUUUCAUGCGGUCUCUGCCCUAUGUGCUCCCCAACGGGGCCGCUGACUCUCCACUUCCACUGGUCCCCCCUCUCAGCCAAAGUAUCAUCCCCGAUGUGAAGCCCUCGUCUGGGACUCUGAUAAUGCAUAUGCCCCUAGUGCCUCCAGCUGUCCCAGGCCCUGGAAUGGUGGGAGACCAAGAGAAAAGGGACAUGCACCCAAUGUUUGGUAUUCCACCUGUUGGUCACCCUUCAGGAAGUCCUGCUGUGCAGCCUCUGGUUCAGAGGUUCAAAACAGCUCUGUCUCACAGCCAGGGUGGCACUGAUGGCGCCUCGGGGGGUGGUUCUGCUCCUACUGGCCAGCAGGCUUCACACCAGGCUCCUGUAAGAGCCAUGAGUGUUAUGUCUCCUGGCCCCACAUCCUACCCUUCUCCUCUACAGCAGUCUCUGGCCUGCCAAGACCUGGCCAGUGUUGGCCCAGGCAUGGCCUCCUCCCUGCCGCAUGUGGAGAGCUCACAUGCCAGCCCGGGCUUAACCAUACCGACUGGUUUGCCUUCCCCCUACUGCCUGCCCCCUGUUACGUCUGCUGUAGGAGCACCUGUGGCCACUGGAGUCACUCCAUCUCCUGGACACGUUCAAGCAGCUGUUCCUCCAGCUGUGCCCACCCACACCCCUGGACCUGCCCCCAGUCCCAGCCCAGCGCUCACUCACAGCACGGCACACAGCGACUGCACGUCCUACAGCAACAGCAGCGCUUCCUGUGGAAGUGCCCCUGUUGCCCCUGGCAACCCUAUUAGUUUUCAGCAACCCCAGCAACAACAGUUGCCAACACCCACACCCCCCGCACCACAGCAGCAGCCGCCAGUGGGCUGCGGGACCUGUGGUUGUCAUAACAACUGCGGCGGCCGGGCUAGUGGCAGUAACAACAGCGGAGUGGGCGGCACCUCAGGCUGCCAGGCGCCCUUGUUCUUCCCUGCCCACCAAAUGGCAGCACCAGCACGGCAGGUGUUCAGUGUCCCGCCGCCUCUUUUCCAGCUCACAAGCCUGUGCAGUAACAGUUACCUCACCCAUUCCCAGUCUCCUCACCAGGCCAACGGCGCUGCCACCCUGUCUCCCUUCUUCCCCACCGCUCCACCUCCUGCACACCCACCUCCCUAUGGGCCCCUCCACACGCACUCUCACAGCCAUGCAGACGUGCCGUCACAGAUGCUGGGCACCCAGGCCGCGGUAGUGGCAGCCGCGGCAGCUGCAAACUACAACAUCCAGCAGCAGAUGGCACCGUCGUUCUGCCACCGUGUCUACCAGCAUGUGUACUCAAAUCCUCUGGGGAUGCUGCCUGCUGCUACACUGGGGGGAGCUGGAGUCAAUAAGAAGAACGGCAAUGUGUCCUGUUAUAACUGUGGUGUGAGCGGCCAUUACGCUCUGGACUGCAGCCAACCCUCCAUAGACUCCACACAGCAAGGUAGUGCAGCCUCACGGAACAGGGAGAAACAGAGGACCCCUUAGUUUCCUUCCUCCCCAGAAAAGUUAGGCCUGUCCUCAGUAGCUGUAUUUGGAGCUGUUUAAUUUCAGCUCUGGUGGGUUACCUCCUUCAGUUUAUUUGGCCAGAAGAGAAGCUGUGCCACUGGAACAUUCAAAUUGCACCAAAUAACAAGGAGUAGGAGUCCGAAUGUGGCUUUCGGUUAAAGUACGCAGCCUCCCACAUUUCAGAAGCACUUGACAAUGCCGACUGAAGAAGAGGAAAGGACGAAGGCGAGAUUCUCUGGUCUUUCCACAGCGAUGUUCCUCUGGUUUCUCCCUGUGGACUUCAUGUCAAAAAGAGAGGGUGACCUGCCAAGGACCUGCCAUGAAGCUGAAGUACAUGUGCCUGAGGAAAUGUGGUUCCCAUGGAGAUGAUUCACUGUCUCAUGAACACCCUUUCAGUUUCUUAUCGAUAUUUUUGCACUGAGGGUUGGAAACAAUUAACUUAUUACUUAAUUAUUAGGAUGUUCCUAGAUUUAAUUUUCUGUUUUUACAUUUAAGUGGAGAGUAAGGUUCUUACCUUUAUUUCUAAAACAGCAUAUUUAUGCUUUUUCCUCAUUAUUACUGUUCAACUAGAUUUUUUUGUCUGACAGAAUUGUACAGCAGUUUCAGAGAUUAAAACAAGAAUCAAAAAAGUAAUGUAACAAAAUGGCUUUUAGGUUUGUUUUCAUUUUAAUAAGUUGUAAGGUUUCUGAAUGUACACCUCGUUUAAGGAACCUGACCGUGUCAAAGUGUGUUUGUCACUCGAUUGUGUUCAGUUGGAAGGUAACUGCAGCUUUGUAAUGUAUUUUUUCCAUUUUAAAAUAGUUUUACUUGAAAUGCACUACAGCAAGGCAGGAACACGAGUGCACUAAAACGGUCCGCACCACAACCAAGCCUAUAAGCAUUUAUUAAUUUUUCACCAUCAGAGAGCAAAUCCAUCAUUUUGACUAUUUCAGUAUACAUUAGUAUUUCAGGUGUGAAAAUGCUUUUUAUGGUUAAUAGUUUAGAGAGUGAGACCUCACUGUGGUGUAACUUAAAGUUCAAUUUAAGCAGGAAAUCAUUCUACCACCAUCCCAGAUGAGUACACUGACAGUAGUCAGAUCACUUCUCCCCUUUGGUCAAGAGCAAGCUGUUUUGUUUAGUCUAAAGCCAUUAUCCUGUUUGGACACUUGUAAUCUUUUGUCGUCCUCAAGACAGGCUUUAAAACUGUUCAGCCCUGCUGGGUGGUACUAAGGCCUCAGUUUGCUUCAAACAAACUAGCACCCACCAUGUAAAGGCCUCAGUCUCUCUCCAGGAGCGUCCAGGCUAGUGUCUUGUUAGCCUGAAAAUCAUUUUUUCACUCACUUUUAAUUCAGCAUGUUGAUCGUUUUCUGGCUGGGCGAGGGGUUACCUUGUCUCUUGAUGUCUGUUUUAUCCUAAACAGAAGCUGCAGUGGUGAUUGCCAGAACCAUUAAAGUUAACCCUUUCCACGUCAAUUGAAGAAAUACGCCAGUUUAUUUGAGUGGGGUUAAGUCCUCUUACAACAACUGCACAGCUGUGUCAGUCUCAUCCACACCUGAUGCUGCAAUUCUGUCACAUUUUUUCCUGACUAUAGCUAGGUAGCUGGUUUUUUUGGAAGAUGAUGUUCCCAAGUAAGACUGUAACAUUUGCUGAAUUGUGCCCAGAAGUGACAUUUACAGGAUGUUUAAUUCUAGAGAACAAUUAUAAAGUUAGUGAAGUGACCAGGUAACUACAAACUAACAUCUAUCCAAAGGCUCCUACCAAUAGCCACCAUUUGGUCUAUACCAGACCAAAUAAGGCUGUAGCAGCAAAGUAAAAGUGUUUGUGCAUGGGUGACUUUAUCUCAUGGAUUCAGUGUUUUAUUUGGAAGAUGAAGACUGUGCUUAAAGUGACACAGAUCCACCUGUUAAACACCAGACUGUGUGGUGCCUCGACACAAAGAAGGAAAAAUGGCACACACUUUGGAAAAACAUUCUUGGUGUAGCACUUGGUUGUUGUGAGUGAUGGAAGUAGUUGUGUGAACAAUGAAAAAUGAGCUUGAGAAUUCAAGCUCUGCCUGCUGUCACACCUCCACAUGUAAAGUCGACUUUGGAAAGUUAAGCAAAUUGUCGGACUCUGUUUGAAGCGUACUGACGCAUUAAAGACAAGUCGUGAAGAUAUUUCUAUAGUGGGAAAAAAAGCUCAGACAAGAUAAACACUACUUUCCUACCCUUUUGGUAUAUUAAUACUGUAAAGUUUGUUUCAUCUGGCAGCUGUAUUUGUAUGUCAGAUCACCUCUGAAAGAGUUAACUGUUCGCAGCUGGUUCCAUAUUAAGCCUAUAAGAGAGCAGGAUGUCACAGUGCGUUGAAGCUGAAACACAGAGGAGGGCAGUAAAUGACUUUUAUAUAAUAAAUAUAUCUGAAAUAUGUA